rnacentral:rRNA from 1 species
CGACCGGCGCACGGGUGAGUAACACGUAUCCAACCUGCCGUCUACUCUUGGACAGCCUUCUGAAAGGAAGAUUAAUACAAGAUGGCACCAUGAGUCCGCAUGUUCACAUGAUUAAAGGUAUUCCGGUAGACGAUGGGGAUGCGUUCCAUUAGAUAGUAGGCGGGGUAACGGCCCACCUAGUCUUCGAUGGAUAGGGGUUCUGAGAGGAAGGUCCCCCACAUUGGAACUGAGACACGGUCCAAACUCCUACGGGAGGCAGCAUG